rnacentral:rRNA from 1 species
AUUGAACGCUGGCGGCAGGCUUAACACAUGCAAGUCGAGCGGAGCGAAGGUGCUUGCACAUUAGCUUAGCGGCGGACGGGUGAGUAAUGCUUAGGAAUCUGCCUAUUAGUGGGGGACAACGUUUCGAAAGGAACGCUAAUACCGCAUACGUCCUACGGGAGAAAGCAGGGGAUCUUCGGACCUUGUGCUAAUAGAUGAGCCUAAGUCGGAUUAGCUAGUUGGUGGGGUAAAGGCCUACCAAGGCGACGAUCUGUAGCGGGUCUGAGAGGAUGAUCCGCCACACUGGGACUGAGACACGGCACAGACUCCUGCGGGAGGCAGCAGUGGGGAAUAUUGGACAAUGGGCGAAAGCCUGAUCCAGCCAUGCCGCGUGUGUGAAGAAGGCCUUUUGGUUGUAAAGCACUUUAAGCGAGGAGGAGGAGCUUCAGGUUAAUACCCUGGAUGCUUGGACGUUACUCGCAGAAUAAGCACCGGCUAACUCUGUGCCAGCCGCCGCAGUAA